AAUUGUUCGCAAUGGGCGCAAGCCUGACGACGCAACGCCGCGUGGAGGAUGAAGAUCUUCGGGUCGUAAACUCCUUUCGAUCGAGACGAAUUCCUCCGGGGUGAACAAUCCCGGAGGUUGACGGUACCGAGAGAAGAAGCCCCGGCUAACUCCGUGCCAGCAGCCGCGGUAAUACGAAGGGGGCAAGCGUUGUUCGGAAUUACUGGGCGUAAAGGGCGCGUAGGCGGCUUAUCAAGUCAGGCGUGAAAUUCCCGGGCUCAACCUGGGGGCUGCGCUUGAUACUGAUGAGCUUGAAUGCGGGAGAGGAUAGUGGAAUUCCCAGUGUAGAGGUGAAAUUCGUAGAUAUUGGGAAGAACACCGGUGGCGAAGGCGGCUAUCUGGCCCGUAAUUGACGCUGAGGCGCGAAAGCGUGGGGAGCAAAC
rnacentral:rRNA from 1 species